GAUGAAGAACGCAGUAAAAUGCGAUAAGUAAUGUGAAUUGCAGAAUUCAGUGAAUCAUCGAAUCUUUGAACGCACAUUGAGCCCGCCAGUAUUCUGGCGGGCAUGCCUGUUCGAGCGUCAUUUCAACCCUCAAGCUCAGCUUGGUGUUGGGACUCGCGGUAACCCGCGUUCCCCAAAUCGAUUGGCGGUCACGUCGAGCUUCCAUAGCGUAGUAAUCAUACACCUCGUUACUGGUAAUCGUCGCGGCCACGCCGUAAAACCCCAACUUCUGAAUGUUGACCUCGGAUCAGGUAGGAAUACCCGCUGAACUUAAGCAUAUCAAUAAGCGGAGGA
rnacentral:misc_RNA from 1 species